CAGGACUAUUUAUAAAUCAUAAGGAGCAAUGCAAAUACCUUAUGAGGAAUUUUUGCUGUUAUUGUGAUCAACACCAGAAGCUCAAGGAAGUUCAUGGUGAAGCCCCCAUUUGAAACAGGACCUUGAAGAGCAAGGUGACUACAACACGGAGGGAAGGAUGGACUUCGGAACAGGGGACCGGCUUGGGCUAAGAUGUAGGGGCAGGGGGCACGAGUGUGGGGAAUAUGUGGUGGAGAGAAGGUGCCAGCAUGAGAGGGAGCUGGCUGGACUCUGCUGGAUUGCUGGCUGGGUGGUGGAGUCAGGUGAGGCAGGACUUCAAAGUUUAGCCUGAGGCAAUGAGAUCUAAUUUCGGCUAAAUGUAGAUCAUCUGAUGAAUUAUUGAUUUGCUUCAAUGGACAAUUUCAUAGCUCAGAAGUGGAAGAAGCAAGGAAGAAAUGCACCACCCUGAACUUAACUCUGACCAGCCCCAGGGAAUGCUUGUUGGCAAUAGAGUGACCAGGGAGGGUCCAUAGAGGAAGUGACUGUGUCAGCCUGGAGUGGGUCACAGCAGGUGAUGGCACCUUGGAUAUGGCAGUUGCUAGUGCUAAGCUUGAGGAAAAGGCAUUGGAAAAGGCCUGCCUGGGAAAACUGAGAGAUCAGUCCCCUGGCCGGAGACUUAGGAAUGCCACAGGGAAGUUCCCAGAAAGAAGAAGGAGGCUCUGAAAAUGGAAAUCUGCCAUGCAGUCACAAAUCAUUUCAAAGAAAGAAAGGCACUCCCUUUUCCUUACUUCCUCUCUCUCUCUCUCUCUCUCUCUCUCUCUCUCUCACACACACACACACACACACACACACACACACACACACACACGUUCUCUGCUCCUCGUGUCUAUCAUUAGGCAUUCAGGCAGUUAAUUCUCCCAGACACAUCACUGAGAGUGCCAGGAGUCUUGUAGAGUUGAAAAUGGGUGUUGCAAGGCUCAUUACGGAAUCCCAGAGAAAGAGGAUAAGGGAUUUCCCCUCCCUCAGCCUCUGAAGGAGUCCCUGCACUUCCAUUUCUACCCACCCUGAAGGCCCCGUCCCUCACCCAGCCCACAGCCCCUGGCUCCCCGCCCUCCUCUGACUCUGCUCCAGGUCCAUGGUCAUGCCCACCCCAACUGGGUCCCAUUUCAUGUUCCUAAUAUGAGAAAGAUCCUGAACCCCAUACCCUUUGGAGUAAAGAGGGUAGAGGGGCAAGGUGGCAGGGAAACAGCCUAGAGAGAAUCCCAAACUGACCACACCACCUCCCUUUCCCAUCAGCUCUAGGCCAGUGUGGCUCACAAGGAAGCUGGGUGGUGUUUCUCCUCCCCUCCCACCAUUGUGAAGUAUCUUCUUGCUGCUAGAGUGCAGCACCUGGUACAGAGCGUACAUUUCAGUGCUAAGUGAAUGAGUGAAUGUUCGAAGUGCUUAUUGAACACCCAUCCUGUGCCAGGCAUUAUCCCGCACCUGAAACGUCUUAGUAAACCAAAGUCAUAAGAAUUCCUGCACGAGUCACAUCCACAUUCUACUGAGGGUGAAGGCCAAUGAGCCAUGCACACGAUAAACCAGUGCGUUAGAUUCUAUGCUGGGAAGUGUUAAGUGCUUGGGGAAAAAAUAGAGCAGACUAAGGGGGAUGGGGGAAAGAGGGUGUUGCAACUUUAAAUAGGGUGGUCAGAGCAGGUGUCAUUGAGGAGGUGACAUUUAAGCAAAACCUUGAAGAGAUGAAGAAGCGCUGCAGGGAAUGUGAAGAAUAGGAGUGAGGACCCUAAGGCGGGAGGAAGCGUGGCAGGUUGGAGACACAGCGUGGAAAUGGUGUGACUGGAGCAGGGACAUCGAGGGAGCUGGGAUCAGAGAGGAGCAGGAGUGAGUGGGCAGGUCAAGCUGACUUCCUCAGAGGUCUUCCUUGACCACACUUGAUAAGGCGGCCCCCUGGCCCAGCAUUCUCCAUCCCGUUACCCGCUUUGUUUUCCUUAUUACACCCGCACCGCCAUCCGGUGUGUUCUGUUCUGUUCACACUGCCUGCCUCCCUAAGGAACGAUGUAAGGUUCGUGAAGGCAGGGACUUUACCCAUUUGUUACCUGCUCUAUCUAAUGUCAGAAUGGCUGGUGAGGGUGAAGAGGACAGGAUACCUUCCACACCAGAGGCUGAUGAGGAGCUGCAGCUCCUCAUUCCUUGACUGGAGGAAACCCUUCCUGACACAGGCUGAUUAUUGUCAUCAUGAAGGGAAAUCUAUAGUGGUAAGCCACAGGGCUCUUUCAUUGGCCUUGGCUGGUUGAGAGCAGGGGUGAGCUGUACAGGCAGAGUCUUCUGUGAGGGUGGUCCCUGGAUCUUCCUCACAGGCAGGCAGAUGUUUUGCUUUCAUUUGUUCAACAAACAUUUGUUGGGCACCUACUAUCUGCCAUGCACUCAGCUUACCAACUUAGGUUAGGUGGAGAAGGGAGGGACAGUUGGGAUAAUGCCACCCUAGCCCUAUCCAGGCCCCCCCAGGUCCCAAGCUUCAUUGGGCACAUGAGUAGCGUAUGCCAGGUGCAUGCCAGGCCUUGGGAAUGCAAAGAUGAACAGCACAGUGCCUGCACUCAAUCAAGUUGCUGUCAUUAUAGUAGUAGAUGUGAGAGACAUGUAAACAAAUGUCUGCAAAUCCACUGUGAUAGGUAUAGUGGCAGUGUAUCCAGGUGACAAGGGGAAGGGGCAGAAAAUGUCUCAGAGGAGUGAUGCUUGAGUUGAACUCAAAGUGGAGUGAUAUGUCACCUUGUGAUCUGGUGUGAAGUACCCCAAACCCUGUUCUUGUUGAGCCUGAAAUGAGAAGUUCAAUUGUAUGGAUUAGGUAUCAGCCUCUUCCUUUGUGCUGAAAAUAAUUGGUGUUCCUAAGAAAGUAACUAACGCAGCACACAGUUCUGAGAUCGCCUUCUUACAUGUGAAGAAACCAGGUGCCAUGUGAAGGGGGUUGAUAGAGAGAAAGGAGUAAGUGGGGUUCCCUCCUCUCCUAGUUCUCUGUCCCCUCUCCACUUUUAGUGGUCUCUAUUUUUAGGUGCCAAGGCUGUCUAGGAUUCUCUCUAAUCCUAGAGGCAGGAAUUGAUAAAUACAUUAGUAAACACAUUUACCCUAACAGGCUAAUGAUCUGGGCUCUUCUCACUGCUAUGCUUUCUUCUCUCCUGCAUCUCCCGGGGGCAAUUAAAAGUUCCAUCUCUACAAGCCUGAUGAGGCUUCUUGAACCCUCUCUUCACUUCCUGCCUCUGAGCCCAGCCCCUACCUGCCAUGUCCUGGCCUUGUAGAUAGGACCUGAUGAACACAAGAUUUCUUGAUUUUAGCAGGAAUUGGACAAAGGCUCCCAUGGCUAUGCUGUGGACAAAGUAGAAGAAUAAGGCAGAGGAUAGUAUAUCAGAUGGAGAACUGAUUGGUUUAAUAGACAGAAAGAGCAUUGGUAAUUGUUAUCCUGAAGUAUCAACAGUAUUUUAAUCAGUGGCUUGAAUAAAGACUAAAUGACACAAAGCUUAGAGGAAAAGAUAAUACAAAGAUCAACAAAAUCAGAUAUCUAAAGACUGGAUGAGGAGAGACAAAUCAGAUUAUCAGCUGGAUGACUCUGGAGACUCUCCCUAGCUAACCCAGCAAAAUAUUGGCCCUAUAGGAUGGCUUCAAGAACUCAGGUUGGAGCCAAUGCCAAUAUGCAAACUCCUCACUCGAUUUUACUGGGGGACAAGCUAUUUCUCAUGCUGGCAAGGUUGUAACCAAUUGCAAAGCUAAAGAUCUAUCACUUCCCACAUCCAUCAUUAAUAUGCAAGCCAAUGGAGCACAAUGAUCCCUCUCCUGGAUCACACAGCACACACAUGGCACUCUAAGCCACGUUCAUCCCAAGCAUGCCUCUUCAUGGGAUGGCAAGGGUCUGAAAGGACCAUAUUCAUGCUGCCAGCCUGUGCCUGAGUACUCACACUUUGAGUCUGCAUUUAUCCUUGCCCCCUGCUUUACACAUUGGUAUAAACAACAUUUUAAAAAGCCAAAAGAUAAAAUGUUAUAUAGACAAAUAUGCUGCAUUUGUGCUCAAAAUAUCAGUUAUGUAACUAUAGGAAUGGGAAGACUUGGCUCCAUACUUUGAAAAGGAACCAUGAGUUUAGUGGAUUCAGAAUGAGUCAGGAAGUGACCUGGUGGCUUAUAAGUGGUCUGUGGCUUCAUUAACAGAUGCAGCAUCCAGAUGUCAGGAGAGGACAUUGUACUCAUCUUGCCAGCCCACCCAACUGGAAUCCAUGCUUAGUGCAGCCUACUCUAGGCACAGGAAGAGGCAGGGCUGACAGCUGCCACUGAUGUAUAUGCAGAAUACGUACAAGACGAGUGGAGCAGCCAAGAGAACCAGACUGUAGCAGGUUAAUUGGCUGGGGCUGACAGAUUCCAAGUCAAACUGGUCCAAGCUCAUGUCUGGGAUUCUAAAGCAGAAGGAAGAGUCAAGAGAGAGGGAAUGGACCUGGAUGACUGCAAGAGGACCAGGUGCAGAAACCGAAACAUACCAUACUGAGGCAGACAGGAGCAGGUGGUUAGGGGACUAAGGCAAUUACUGAGGAGAGAGGCUGAUGAAAACUGAAGUAAAGGAAAAACAGGUUGGAGUGCUGCAGCUGAGGAGCCCCUGUGGAAAGCUGGCUGCAGUACCACUGUCUACCUUAUUUUAAAAACUAUCUCUUCUUUUUUAUAAAAAAACCAAGCUAAUGCAUGAGUAUUAUUUUUAGUUUUGUUUUUAAAAUUAAAUCAUAUUGCCACAUCCAUAAUUUAAAAAUUGCAAUCCUCUGCCCCAAUUUUUUGAAUUCUUGCUUUCUAGAACCAACUGCUUUCAACUCUCUUCUGUUUCUUCUGUUUAUCCCUCUUUAUUUGUAAACAGCAGAUUAUGCUACUAUAUUUCUUGUGUUUUUUUGUUUUUGUUUGUUGUUGUUGUAGUUGUUGUUUGUUUUAGGUUUACUUUUUUGGCUUCUGUAUGAAAGAUGAGGAUUGUGUUCCCUCACACCAUGCUUUCCCACUCUCCUGCCACCUAUUAUAUUCACACUAUUCCUUCUCCCCAUCCUCUCAAUAUACUAUUGUUACCUUAUGGGUAAAAUCAAUGCUCUUUGAUUUUGAGUAUUGAUUUUAUGAUGUUUAUGAUAUUAUGAUCAUGGAAAUGCAAUUCACUGCUGAUCUAGGGAAUACAAUAAAACUACUUUAUAUUUUACCUGGA